rnacentral:tRNA from 1 species
CGGGGUGAAGUCUUGGGGGAAGACGCCCGGCUGGGGGCCGGGAAGGUGCAGGUUCGACUCCUGCCACCCCGA